AGAUCAACAUUUAUUUUCCUGUGUUCCUUGCGAAUACCACCGUGUACUUGUAUGAAGCCAACUCUGAUAUACCAACAGAAAGAUUCAGGAAUUUCAUAGGGACUCAGUCUAACCCACAUCCACCAUAAAGGGAAUAUAAACAGGGCCAUCACUGGGGUAAGUACAGCAGACAAGCACUGCUGCUGCUACAGUGGCAGAAAUGUCUGCUGGAUGAAAUAUAACACUAAGCCUGUUUAGGAUACUGCUAAAGAUGUUAUGGUGCUGUUUGAAGAUAAAUAAUUAUCUUGUUCUGAUUAAUUAUUUCUCCUUCAAUGAGCAAUACAAAAAGCAGAUUAACAAUUAAUAACCUUACUGAUGAUUGUUAACUGUGGCUAAAGAGAAAUUAGUCACAUGCUGUAAUAAGAGAUAACUCGAGGGCACAGGGAGAGCAAGAAGGUUACACACAGAAGACCAGUGGGUAAGUCUGGGCGAGGUGGCAACAAGGGGAGGGGAAAUGGGAUGCUCAUAAAAGGAGAGAAGAAGGGGUAAAGGGAGAUAAAUGAACACUUGAGAUAAAAACUAUUGCCUCACCAAAAUCCACUGCAACAAUAACUGGCCACCUAUCACCGGUUGGGACAAAUACUAUUUUUAAAUAAAAAUACACUAUGGAAAGCUUUGGCUAUAUUUUGUUAUGGAAUUUGAAUCUCCUUGGAUCAUGUUCUGCACUGAUCAUAUGCGACUAGUACUGGAACAAAAAAAUAGGGUCAGAAUCAUAUGUAUUAUUACUGACAUAUGUUGUGAAAUUUGUUUUGCAGCAGCACAACAGUGCAACACAUGAAAUUUGCUACGUUUAAAAGUAAAGAAAUAAUGCAAAAGAGGAAGCAUAAGGUAGUGUUCACGGAUCUUUCAGAAAUCUAAUGGUAGAAGUAAAGAAGCUGAUGCUAAGAUGUUGAUUGUGGGCUCCUGCAUCUCUUCCCCAGUGGUAGUAUUGAGAAGAGAGCAUAUCCCGGAUGGUGAGGGUUCUUAAUGGUGAUGCACAGUAGAUGUGAUUGCCUUUGAGACAGCUAACACUGCUCUUCUUGACAAAGGUAUAUUAAAAACAAAACUACAGAUAUUCUGGAAGUCUAAAUGAAAAACGGAAAGCGCUGAAAUGUUAACUCUGUUUCUCUUCCCAUAGAUGCAGCCUGACCUGCUGAGUAUUUCCAGUACUUUCUGAUUUUGUUAUGCUACAAUAGCCUUGUGCCUCUGGUCUAGGGAAGGAAAUAUUGGCGCCGACCUUUGCUGCUGAUUCACAUCCAGUGCUGGGAAGAGAGUGCGAGAGUGAGUGUAAGCAUGCUUGUGUGCACGCUAGAUAAAUGAUUUGCAACCUCAGCCAGGAAGAUUACUGUCAAGGUUUACAGAUGAAGAAUGGUUACUUCAGAGAGGUCCUGGAGAGCUGUUUCAUAUAUCACUGAAAAUCAGCUACAGUUAUCAGGAGUGCAGCUCAGGAGUUUCCUCAGUGAUUAUUUUGUAAACAUUUGUGCCUCAUCGUGGUAGUGUUUUGCAAUGAAGAGAACUGCUCUUCCUGUGCUGAAGUCGAGAGGGUCGAGAGCCUCAAGUUCCAAGGACUGAAUGUCACCAACGGCUUGUCCAGGUUCAAUUAAUUUGAUGCCAUGACCAAGAAAGCUCACUAGCAACUUCACAUUCUCAGAGGCUAAAGAAAUUUGGCAUGUCCCUUGACUUCCACUAAUUUGUGUCAAAAAACAUCCUAUUUGGAUAUAUCACGGGUUGGUAUGGCAACUGCUCUGCCAGUGACUACAAGGAACCAACAUGGACUCUGUCUAUACCUUACUGCCUUGGUAAAGCAACCAGCAUUGUCAAAGCAUGCACACCAGACAUUCUAUUCUCUACACCCUCCCAUUGUUAAAAUAUAUUAAAGUAUAAAAGCAUAUACCAUAAGCUCAAGGACAGCUUCUAUACCACUGUUACAAGAUUACUGAACGGAUCCCUAGUACGAUAAAAUGGACUCUUGGCUUCAAUCUACCUCAUUAUGACCUUGCACCUUAUUGUCUAUCCGCAUUACACUUUGUAACUGCAACAUUUCAUAUUGCACUCUGUUAUUGUUUUACCUGGUACUGUUGUAAUGAAUUAAUUUGCAUGAACAGAAUACAGGACAAAUUUUUCACUGUAGCUUGGUACAUAUGACAAUGAUAAAUCAAUUUACCAAUUUAUAAGAAAUGGCAUUUAGGGUUAAUUUAAUGAGUCACUAUAUUGGAUUGCAAGGCCCUUCUACAGAAACAGUGAUGUAAGCAGAAAAUGUGUAGCGGUUAUGAUAAUUAAGCAUCAACUCAAAUUAUGGUAUGGUACCAUAGAGAAUAUAUUCAUGAACUAGCAGCCUGAGGUCAACACUACUGAUUCAAAAAGGUAAGUUCAAAACCCACUACUGCAGUCAGGGAACUUGUUGCUGUUCCUCUCUGUGCCUUGUGGUGCAUCCAGCAGAAACCUUGCACCUCCUUUAGCAUUUGUCUUUUUUUAUGAGGCCGAGUUACCAGCACAACCCAGCAUGGAUGGAAAGCAUGCAAAGAGCCAGCCAGACGACUUGCCUUGAAGUCCAGUGUGGAUGCCACUACACCACGACCUGGCCAAGCAGGAAGCUUAGAUUCAAGUAUUUCAACUGGGUUUACAUCCAUUACAGAACUAUGCUUCAGGUAUAUUAGUAUUGUUCAGGGGAAGAAAUCUGCAAUUCUUCCUUGGUUUGGGACCCAAGACCAACAACGUGGUUGACUGCCUCCUCAAUUCAUUAGCAGUUAAGGGCAGGCAAUUAAUGCUCAUGUUGCCAGGAACACUGACAGUAUAUGAAAAAAAAUCACAGGUAUUAGAAGUAUCCCACAGCUUUGAAAUAACAAAAAGUACUACAACAUUGGAAACCAAUUAAGACAGGGUCAAAUAGCAUUUUUUUCAAAUUUUCAUUUUGGUAGGAGUAACAUGGUUGAGGAAUGCAAGGAAGAUGAGAUCAAAGAGCAUGAAGAGGGUUAACUACACUACACUUCCACUUCUGCUAAAUCCCUCACCAAAGAAACAACAUAUUUUCUUACUGAAAUUAUUAUUAAUUAUGAAAAAACCAAAACGUUGAUGAACUUCUCUGUUAGGGAAAACUGUAUAUUUCAAGUAUCAGCAAAACAAUGGUUCACUUCAGAUCUUGCCUUUAACUUGGUCGGGUAGGGGAAUGUGGGUGUAUGAAUUCUGAUGUAAAUAGUGAAUGUGCAAUUUGUUUAGACUGACAAUAACCUAAAUGAUUUUCUAUUGUGAGCCGAUGAAGAUUACAAAUUGUUGAAAAAAACAUGGACAUUUGACUUUUUACAUUGUUCGCAAAGAACCUCUAUCUCCAACGACAGGACAUAUGAAAUACAUUACAGUGAAAUAUAAGCAUUAUAGAGCGUGUCAACCUAGUUGUAAAUUCAGUUGAAAAAUAGCUAUGAUCGAUGAACGGUUCCAUUGUACAAAAAGAAAUACAU